rnacentral:rRNA from 1 species
GAUGAACGCUGGCGGCGUGCCUAAUACAUGCAAGUCGAGCGAACAGACGAGGAGCUUGCUCCUCUGACGUUAGCGGCGGACGGGUGAGUAACACGUGGAUAACCUACCUAUAAGACUGGGAUAACUUCGGGAAACCGGAGCUAAUACCGGAUAAUAUAUUGAACCGCAUGGUUCAAUAGUGAAAGACGGUUUUGCUGUCACUUAUAGAUGGAUCCGCGCCGCAUUAGCUAGUUGGUAAGGUAACGGCUUACCAAGGCAACGAUGCGUAGCCGACCUGAGAGGGUGGUCGGCCGCACUGGAACUGAGACACGGACCAGACUCCUGCGGGAGGCAGCAGAAGGAAAUCUUCCGCAAUAGGCGAAAGCCUGACGGAGCAACGCCGCGUGAGUGAUAAAGGUCUUCGGAUCGUAAAACUCGGUUAUUAGGGAAGAACAAAUGUGUAAGUAACUAUACACGGCUUGACGGUACCUAAUCAGAAAGCAACGGCUAACUACGUG